rnacentral:rRNA from 1 species
UUCUGGCUCAGGAGUGAACGCUGGCGGCGUGCCUAACACAUGCAAGUCGAACGGAAACUAAGCGCUUCGGAGACUUCGGUCAAUGUUGUUUGGUUUAGUGGCGGACGGGUGAGUAACGCGUGGAUAACCUGCCAUAUACAGGGGGAUAACAGUUAGAAAUGACUGCUAAUACCGCAUAAGCGCACAGUCUCGCAUGGGACAGUGUGAAAAAACUCCGGUGGUAUAUGAUGGAUCCGCGUCUGAUUAGCCAGUUGGCGGGGUAACGGCCCACCAAAGCGACGAUCAGUAGCCGGCCUGAGAGGGUGAACGGCCACAUUGGGACUGAGACACGGCCCAAACUCCUACGGGAGGCAGCAGUGGGGGAUAUUGCACAAUGGGGGAAACCCUGAUGCAAGCGACGCCGCGUGAGUGAAGAAGUAUUUCGGUAUGUAAAGCUCUAUCAGCAGGGAAGAUAAUGACGGUACCUGACUAAGAAGCACCGGCUAAAUACGUGCCAGCCGCGGC